UCGCAUAUAAUAUAAUUUCUAUCUGAAAGGUGUAACUCAGGUGUAUGCAAUUGGAAACAAAAUGCUUCCCUCCACACAGAGGGGUUAUUUUCUAGAAGCCUAUAUCCAACCACUUCUUACACAGCUCAGGUGGAAAACGCGGAGAGAGGGCCAGGUGAAAUUCGCUUCUCUGGCCCCAGCAUCCCCAGCCAGACUGACUGUCCCGGCCACCUACAAAGAAGCUGAGGUCCACGGAUGCAGCGCGACUCUAAAGGUACAGGGUCUUCAAGUCGUAGAAGCAGAGAUUAAACAUGAGUCUAUACUCUGAUCGUUGCCUUGGCGCUCUGCUGGGUCUGGUGUUGGCGUUGCCCUACAGGAGGGUUCUGGGGAAGGACCCCGGGCAGGGAGUGUCCUGCCUGCACCCAGGGUUGGCGCCUUUGGUGCUGGUGCAUCUCCCAUGCCCGCGGGAAGCAGACCCAGAGCACCCAUUGGUGCGGGGCAGCCACCUGUUUCCCCAGCAUCCUGAGGCUGGUUGGCAGCGUAGCGCAGGGGAGGCGGGCUCCCCAGGACGCCCUUCAGCAUAUACAGGCACACGCCUCACGGGCUCCGGGCCGUGCCGUUUGGGACGGAACGCCCAGCCCUUCGGAUUCUGGCAGAGGCACUCAAGUUUGGUUCAUCCUUUCUGCUUGGAGACUGCCUGUUUCCCUUGCAAACUGGGAAGCAGAAGUCAGCACAUCCGUCCAGCAAGGGUGGGGUGGCCGGAUCGCCCAGCGCGCGCCCUGAAGGUUCACCUGAACGGAAACCGAGGAUGGAGCCCUGGUGGGGCCUCUUCUACCUCACGCUCCUGUGCUCUCUGAUGCACAUCCGAGAGGCGUCUUUGGUGAGGGGCACAGCCUGCCAGGAGAGCCAAGAUGUUGGCUUGACAAACACACCACAGGGGAAGUGGAGAGAGAGAAGGGGACUUUGGUCUUCCGCUGACCUCACGGUCAAGGUGACUUUGAUUUGGCCGACGCCCUCGAUGACCCCGAGCCCACCAAGGAGCCGAGCUCAGAUAUCUACCCAAAGCCGACGCCUCCCCACCAGCCACAGCCCGGAAAUCCCGACAACAGUGGAAAUAUCUAUCCAAGGCCAAAGCCACUGCCACGUCCCCAGCCUGGCAGCUCUGACAACGAUGCAGGUGGAGAUGGCCACCCGUCAUACGGCAACCCACAAGGCAACAGGAUAGCAAAAAUCGUGUCUCCUAUCCUGUGCGGGGUGCUGGUGACCCUGGUGGGGGCAACGACCAGCUAUUUCCGGUACAACAGGAAGAGGAAUUGUUGCAGGACAAAUGAACCAGAAAACAUCUGAGGCCUUCAAAACCCACCCUUUGCUUUGAGAAAAGCUCCACCCAGACAAGAACCACCUUCAUCACUCCCGUGCAAAGUUCCUUUCCUUCUCGGCUUAAGCGGCUGCCCUGAAGGGUUUUCUCUCCUGUUUGCAAUAGACGUGCUACCUAACCAAGAAUUCCUAAUUCCUCAGACACAUCGAUCAUCAUAAGGUAGACAGCUGGACCUUGGGUUGUAAAAUGACUGCUUGAUCUGUUGGUUCCAUCGUGAAUCCGGACAGAGAUUCCAGCUCUGGAAUGAGCUCCGAAACUACCUCCUGGUGUGACCUCAGGCCAUCGACGUGGUCACAAAGCACAGGGGCAGGAGGAUGGCACCGGGGUCUAGGGCGGGAAUGCCAUCGGCUUCUAAAAGAUGCAGACAGACUGCUGUUUGGGUUUCCAACAAGCUGGGGUGAGAAGAUUGACUGAUGCUGUAAGUUCCUUAGUUAUGUCAGGAAUCCAGAACUGUUCACCACCGCCCGUGAAUCGGGAAUGAGUGAUUCCCGACACUCACGGCGGAAUUUGAACGUUAUUUCAGCUCCCAAGAGUAUUGUCACCUGCAGAGGGUGAGGCUGGCUUUGGAAAUUUAAGUGCAAAAUCGCUGAUGUAGAAACCGUCUCGGGGAAGUGAUCAUGGGGUGUUUUUUUCCUGUGAAAUAGUCCAGUUCCUACAUUUUUUUGGAGAACAUGGGAUAGAAAUAGAGAUUUGCAGAUGGUG